AUUGAACGCUGGCGGCAGGCCUAACACAUGCAAGUCGAACGGUAGCACAGAGAGCUUGCUCUCGGGUGACGAGUGGCGGACGGGUGAGUAAUGUCUGGGAAACUGCCCGAUGGAGGGGGAUAACUACUGGAAACGGUAGCUAAUACCGCAUAACGUCGCAAGACCAAAGUGGGGGACCUUCGGGCCUCACACCAUCGGAUGUGCCCAGAUGGGAUUAGCUAGUAGGUGGGGUAAUGGCUCACCUAGGCGACGAUCCCUAGCUGGUCUGAGAGGAUGACCAGCCACCCUGGAACUGAGAAACGGUCCAGACUCCUACGGGAGGCAGCAGUGGGGAAGAUUGCACAAUGGGCGCAAGCCUGAUGCAGCCAUGCCGCGUGUAUGAAGAAGGCCUUCGGGUUGUAAAGUACUUUCAGCGGGGAGGAAGGCGGUGAAGUUAAUAACUUCACCGAUUGACGCUACCCGCAGAAGAAGCACCGGCUAACUCCGUGCCAGCCGCCGUGGUAA
rnacentral:rRNA from 1 species